UACGUAGGGUGCGAGCGUUGUCCGGAAUUACUGGGCGUAAAGAGCUCGUAGGCGGCUUGUCGCGUUGUUCGUGAAAAUUUACCGCUCAACGGUGAACUUGCGGGCGAUACGGGCAGGCUAGAGUACUGCAGGGGAGACUGGAAUUCCUGGUGUAGCGGUGAAAUGCGCAGAUAUCAGGAAGAACACCGGUGGCGAAGGCGGGUCUCUGGGCAGUAACUGACGCUGAGGAGCGAAAGCGUGGGGAGCGAACAGG
rnacentral:rRNA from 1 species